rnacentral:rRNA from 1 species
UACGUAGGGCGCGAGCGUUGUCCGGAAUUAUUGGGCGUAAAGAGCUUGUAGGCGGUUUGUCGCGUCUGCUGUGAAAAUCCGGGGCUCAACCCCGGACUUGCAGUGGGUACGGGCAGACUAGAGUGUGGUAGGGGAGACUGGAAUUCCUGGUGUAGCGGUGAAAUGCGCAGAUAUCAGGAGGAACACCGGUGGCGAAGGCGGGUCUCUGGGCCAUAACUGACGCUGAGGAGCGAAAGCGUGGGGAGCGAACAGG